rnacentral:rRNA from 1 species
CCCGCGACAAGCGGUGGAGCAUGUGGUUUAAUCGAAGCAACGCGAAGAACCUUACCAGGUCUUGACAUCCCGAUGCUAUUUCUAGAGAUAGAAAGUUACUUCGGUACAUCGGUGACAGGUGGUGCAUGGUUGUCGUCAGCUCGUGUCGUGAGAUGUUGGGUUAAGUCCCGCAACGAGCGCAACCCCUAUUGUUAGUUGCCAUCAUUCAGUUGGGCACUCUAGCGAGACUGCCGGUAAUAAACCGGAGGAAGGUGGGGAUGACGUCAAAUCAUCAUGCCCCUUAUGACCUGGGCUACACACGUGCUACAAUGGUUGGUACAACGAGUUGCGAGUCGGUGACGGCGAGCUAAUCUCUUAAAGCCAAUCUCAGUUCGGAUUGUAGGCUGCAACUCGCCUACAUGAAGUCGGAAUCGCUAGUAAUCGCGGAUCAGCACGCCGCGGUGAAUACGUUCCCGGGCCUU